CUUGCUCCCAAAGAUUAGCGGCGGACGGGUGAGUAACACGUGGGCAACCUGCCUGUAAGACUGGGAUAACUUCGGGAAACCGGAGCUAAUACCGGAUAAUCCUUUUCCUCUCAUGAGGGAAAGCUGAAAGACGGUUUCGGCUGUCACUUACAGAUGGGCCCGCGGCGCAUUAGCUAGUUGGUGAGGUAACGGCUCACCAAGGCGACGAUGCGUAGCCGACCUGAGAGGGUGAUCGGCCACACUGGGACUGAGACACGGCCCAGACUCCUACGGGAGGCAGCAGUAGGGAAUCUUCCGCAAUGGACGAAAGUCUGACGGAGCAACGCCGCGUGAGCGAAGAAGGCCUUCGGGUCGUAAAGCUCUGUUGUCAGGGAAGAACAAGUGCCGGAGUAACUGCCGGCACCUUGACGGUACCUGACCAGAAAGCCACGGCUAACUACGUGCCAGCAGCCGCGGUAAUACGUAGGUGGCAAGCGUUGUCCGGAAUUAUUGGGCGUAAAGCGCGCGCAGGCGGUCCUUUAAGUCUGAUGUGAAAGCCCACGGCUCAACCGUGGAGGGUCAUUGGAAACUGGGGGACUUGAGUGCAGAAGAGGAGAGUGGAAUUCCACGUGUAGCGGUGAAAUGCGUAGAGAUGUGGAGGAACACCAGUGGCGAAGGCGACUCUCUGGUCUGUAACUGACGCUGAGGCGCGAAAGCGUGGGGAGCGAACAGGAUUAGAUACCCUGGUAGUCCACGCCGUAAACGAUGAGUGCUAAGUGUUAGAGGGUUUCCGCCCUUUAGUGCUGCAGCAAACGCAUUAAGCACUCCGCCUGGGGAGUACGGCCGCAAGGCUGAAACUCAAAGGAAUUGACGGGGGCCCGCACAAGCGGUGGAGCAUGUGGUUUAAUUCGAAGCAACGCGAAGAACCUUACCAGGUCUUGACAUCCUCUGACAACCCUAGAGAUAGGGCGUUCCCCUUCGGGGGACAGAGUGACAGGUGGUGCAUGGUUGUCGUCAGCUCGUGUCGUGAGAUGUUGGGUUAAGUCCCGCAACGAGCGCAACCCUUGAUCUUAGUUGCCAGCAUUCAGUUGGGCACUCUAAGGUGACUGCCGGUGACAAACCGGAGGAAGGUGGGGAUGACGUCAAAUCAUCAUGCCCCUUAUGACCUGGGCUACACACGUGCUACAAUGGAUAGAACAAAGGGCAGCGAAGCCGCGAGGUGAAGCCAAUCCCAUAAAUCUAUUCUCAGUUCGGAUUGCAGGCUG
rnacentral:rRNA from 2 species